GAACCAGUGUGGUGUGGUGGUUUAAACACUGGACUAUAAUUCCAGGAGACCAGGGUUCGAAUCUCUGCUUGAUCA